CCGGGUAAGGUCCAGCCGUAUCCGCCUCCUUCAUGUCCCGCUGUGGGAGGGGCUCUGGAGCGCCGGGACUGUGAGAUGGCCAAUGACGGUCUGACCCGUUGGGCCGGGCCAGGUCGUGGACAACGUCGACUGUUUGUUUAAGAAGCGUGGACUCUUGUCCUGAGUGCACCGAUGCUUUCAGCCUGCGGGACAGUGGUGCGAUUUGCAUUAGAGAAAGGGAGAUGCCAUGUGCUGGCCCAGCACUCCAACAGGGGCCUGACCUCUAGGAACGGGACACUGGAGGAAGCCUAGACAUUUGAACAAAUCAAGUCAUCCAGAUCCACGGUCAGCUCCUGCCCCGACUUGGCCUUCCUCCUGCUGGGCUGGCCCACGGACCUCGGGAACCUGCCCUGGCUGUGGGUGACCUGCAGCCUAUCUCCCAGGACUAUGGAAGCCCCAUGCAGGAACAUGGUUCUGACACUUUGGGGGUUAUACCCUAAGCUUAAAGAACUGGAAAAGCUCCUGAAGUCCCGAGACCACAACCCUCCACCUUCUAAAGAUAAGACAAGUCACUGAAGGUCUCAGAACUGUGGCCCAUUCACCCCUUCCCUCAAGACAAGAGUGUGGCCAAGCAUCAAUCUCACCCCCAGAGACCAGACGGUGUCCAGGGCUUGGGCAGACGAAACCUGCUCCUUGGGGAUGGUCUUCCUGGCUGUGCUUCCAAAGGGCUGGCCUGCAAUCAGCUGGGUUGAAUGAACUGGGAGAGAACAGAGCCGCAGCGGAAUGUGGAAAGGCCCACGUCGAGACUGUUCCCAUUCUGAGGAAAGGUCCUGUGAGGGUACAGUGAGAAGAUGGCCAUCUACAAGCCAGGAGGAAAGGCCUAACAAGAAACCAACUCUGCUGGCACCUUGAUCGUGAACUCCCGCCCUCUAGAACUGUGAGAAAAUAAACGUCUGUUUAAGCCACCUGGUCUGUGGUAUUUUGUUAUGGAAGCCCGAGCAGACCAAUAUGCCUACUAAGUAAGUACAAGUUCUAGAUAUCCAAGUGUUUUCUUUAUGUCAUCUCCUCGACAAAUUAAAUAUUUCAAUGUCCACAUUCUCAGAAAGAAAAGGAGUCAGUGUUUUAAUGGAUCCUGUUUAAUCUUUACUUCCCUGUAUCCUUAUUUCCGUGAAUGUGACUUCACAAAUGGAGUCAUCCUAUAUCCUACUCCCAAGGCACAAUCUGGUAAAAGCAAGAAAAAGGCUUUGCUCUGCUAAUUCACCCUUUUCUGCUCAGCAUUUGGCUCUAAACUGUAACCUGAGACCCUGAAAUUGCUGAGGCCCUUAACCUUUCCUUACUCCUUUGACUCAGAAUGAUCUCAGCGGGACAGUUCCUGGAGUUUCUGUUCAUGUUUUGGAACAUGACCGAGACCAAGAAAAUAAAAUUGAUUCCUGAUGCCAUGUGGCUCAGGGUUUAGACAAUGUAUUCUGGUCACAGAAAAUUGAGACCAAAUCUGUUUUCUUGCAUCUGUUCCAUUGCCCUCUGUGACAUUAAUUCUCAACAGCAGAUUCAACGUGCUGGAACUAACCAGUGUUAGAGUGCUUAAGAAGUCAGGUUCAACUGAGCUCGGGUCACUGUGCUAGAACUAUGGUUACCAAAACUGAAGUACGUAUUUACUCUUCAAUUCCUAUUUCAGCUGUGAAACUGUGAGUUUUAAUUAGAGAGUAAAGGGUUUGUCUCCUUAGCUUCAUGUUAGAAAGCAAAAUGAAAAAAAUUGUCUAAAACCCUUAAAAAAUAGUCCAAACCUGGGAUAAUUCUUCUCAGAUAUUCAUGAAAAUAUAUGACCUAUUUUAGGCAGGUAAAACAGAGGCAAUAUUAAAUUGAGACAUUUGAAACCAUGGAAUAAUCUAACAACACGCUUUUUUUAAUUCAUUCACAAAUGACAUGUCAAGUUCCUAAUAUUUAUAAUGAACUGCUUUAGGCAUGAGACAAUGAAAUAGUGUAUAAAGUAUUACAAAUAAACUCAUAUAUGUAAAAUUGUUUUAAAAAUUUUGGUGUUAUGGAAAUAUAGUACUGUUGUAUUAAAUAAUAACCUAUUCUAUAAUCUAUUUUUUUUGGUUUUAGAAAGAAACAGCUCUUAUAUGUUGAAGUUUGCUAGUAACUAAUAUUCGUAACUAUAGUCUAAAACCAUAUUAUAUCACGAUAACAUGUAAAAUCAUAAUAUGUCAUAUUAUAUCUUUACACAGGAUUUUUACUGUAGUAUUAUUUUCUUAUUACAAAUUUAAAACAGAUGUUAGUUUCCAUGAUAGCUAAUCAAAUAUACUAUUUUGUGAUAAUUUCUCUUAUUUUAUGAUAGAGCGAUCUUAACUAUUAUAAAAGCAAAUAAUAUAUUGAACUAUUGAUCCAGUUUAUCAAUUAAUGGUAAUACAGCACCUACUAUGUGUCAAGAGUUAUGCUAGGCCAUCAGUUAGGACAACUAUGGCUGCAAAGGGUCACCCAGGAUCAAAUUGUCCUAAGGAAAUUUAUUAUUUCAUACUGGAAGUCCAGAGGAGAAAGAAAGAGGGCACAGCGCUUUUGGUGGCUGAAAGACACCUUCGUGUCUGCACAGACCCAGAAAUCUUCAUCUCUCUGCCAUCUUUAGCAUCAGCUUCAUCAUAAGGCUGCUUUCCCUCAUGGUUUCAAAGGGUGUCAGUAGCUCCAGGAUUGUCAUUUAGUUUAGACAGUGUCCCGAAGCAGGAAAAAGCCUUCUUUUCUCAUGUGUCCUUCUUAAGAAUGUGGAAAAUUUUACCAGAAUCUCCUGAGAGACUCUGUCCACCCCUCAUCAGUCAGCACUUUGUCUCAUGCCCACUCCUGAGCCAAUGGAGGAUGCUUUUUCCCCUCUUCUCCAUGUGUCUCCCUGUGAUUGGUGUGGACCCACCAGGACUCUCCCCUGGGGAUGCAGGUUGAGGCUCUGUGUUUCUGUCUCAUGGAGGAAGAGUGGAAACCAGAACAAAACCAGAGCUCUGAGAGCAAGGACAAAAGUAGCCUCUUACUGGGUCUGCUACAGCCAUGCUGAGUUUGGAAAGCACAGUCAAUCUGAUGGAGGAAUAACCAAUAGGGAAUUGUACACAAAGAGAAGACAUGAGAAACUAAAUGAUAAUACCCAAUAAGUACCUGUAAAUCCUCCUUAGAACCAGGAGGGAUAUAUAUAAGUACAUAAAUAAAACAUUAAAUAAUAAAUCAUAAUAUAGCUUGUCAUUUGUAGACAAUGCAUGUUGUAUAGGAUCAGAGGAGUAAUAGCAGGUAGGUAAACUGUCCAGAGAAAAUUUUGUGGAAGAAGUGAAACUUGAAAAAGAGUUGCAUUUAGAUAAUUCUGGAAUAAAUAGAACCGCUGCUUUUCUGCCUUUUCUUGAGGCUUUGAAUGUUCUGGCUUGUCUCAGUACCAUGCAAUAAGAGCAGAUACUGACCCUCUCCUUUCGUUCUUGCAAUAAAUCAGAUCUGCUUUUACUUUGACCUGUUCCUGAUAUCUUCAGCUCCAGGCUCUUUGGCUCCUAAAUCCCUAUAUUCAUUGUUUAUAAUAAAGACUCCCCAUAACUUCUCUACUGCUAGCUAUUGGCUUCCCUUUCAACAACUACUCAAAGUAUCUACUUGGAUAACAUGUUGUUCUAACUACCUUGACAGGAUUUUAAAACCUUUUUUGAUAUAACUGGUGGUUUGAGGGAGAAGGUGUGAGCUUGCAUACCUGGAAAAAUUGAUAGAAACUGGCUUUUUAAAAUUCUGUUGCUCAUACUUGGUAAUUUUUCUGGCUACACUUUUUAUUUUUUUUCAAAGAGACUGUAGUAAAUUUAUCAGCUUUACAUUGUCUUUGAUUUAACAUAGAAAUUAAAUAAGUUCCCUUUGUGGACUGUAUCCUUGAUUAUAGUGAGAAUUCAAUUUCCAGCAAAGAAAAGUAAAUGCAGAAGUUUUACAAAGCUUUAUUUCAUCCCACAAGAUCGUCGUCCUUGUAAAAUCACGAGUGUGUUGAGUUUAAGCAAAAUAUAAUUAGGCCUGGAAAUCAAAUUAAAAUAUGGAAGACACUCUUUCUGCCCUAAGACUUUUCCCUCUAUGCAAAGGAGACAGAAAAGUUGUAUAAUUUAUGAGAAUGCUGAUUAAAUUACCCUUCAGCAACCAUCUUUUCAUAGUAUUAUUUUUCCUUCAAAGCCACCCAAGAGCCAUAAGAGAUAUAAUGAUUGUGCAAGAAAAGUUUUUCAUUAAGGACUUUAAUAAAAUAAAAUUAAAUAACAUUUGAGAAUCAAUACAAUGAUGAUAGGAAUCUGUGGACAUGAUUAUUUUUGGAAAAAACUUGCUGAUCUCAUAUGCACGAAUCUUUAAGUCAGACUUUGCACCCAGAAUGGGUUGAAAAUUUGGUCUCCAUUUUGAGUUUGGGCACCAAUUAAUCAUCUGUACAUGUGCUUUUGUACUUGGCUAAAUACGAUCAGCUCACAGAAGUUUGUUAGUGCAUAUUUGGUUUCAUUCUUUUCCCACAUUUUGAGAAAAGGGUGCCUUGGUUUGGUGAGAUAACAGAAGAGAGAAUGGUAAAAACAAGUGUGUUCGAUCUCCCUGAAAUGAUGCUCUGCUGUUCUUCAGUCUCUGUGACCUAGAAGGCUCCUCUUCUGUCUUUUUCCUGCUGGGAUGUGAGAAAAUCUGGCAAAGUGGGAGCCAGAGAGGCUAGGCCACUAAAAGCCUGUGUGCGAAAUGAUCUGUACACAGCGAAUUGACUCCACCUUUCACACAUUACCACUUAAAUCAUGAAAGGAGCAUUGCAAGGAGGAAGUAUUUUACCAGCAGAAGAAAACAUGCCUCCAAUGUCAAGAAAUUCCAGCACAAUUUUGUGCAGCCAGGACCAGAUGAAGGGAAAGGCCAAGCAAUAUGUUUUGAGGACUGAAUAUCUAUGCUUCCCCAAAUUCAUAUGUUGAAAUCCUAACUUCCGACGUGAAGUUAUUUGUAGGCGGGGCUUUAGGAGAUAAUUAGGUCACAAGGGCAGAGCCCCCAUGAGUGGGAUUAGUGCUCUUAGAAAAGGGAUCCAAGAGGGCUGUCUCUCUUGCCCUCUUUCCACCAUAUGAGAAUCCAAUGAGAUGGCAUCAUCUGCAAAUCAGGAAGAGGAUGCUCACCAGACACCAGAUCUGCCAGCACCUUGAUCUUGGACUCCUCAGCCUCUAGAACUGUAAGAAAUAACGUUUGUUGUUUAAGCAACCCAGUCUAUGGCAAUUUGUUAUAGCAGCCUGAACUAAGAUAAUCUAUAAGGUAAGGCAAAUAAGAAAAAAAUCCAAACCCAAAAUGACUUUAAGCGACUCCCACAGGAACCCUGCCAACAUCACUAAGUUCAGAGAGGUAAAAUCAGGCAACAAGCAGAAUUAUCUUCGGGAGUCCAUAAAAAUUUCCAGGUCUGGUUGCAACUGUCAUAUCUUGACACAAACGGGCACAUAUUGGAUCCCAGAAAGUUCUAUGGACUUCUUAGGGCUUGCAAAAGUUGUAUAAUUUUAUUGAUUAUAUAAGUAAUACAUGUUCAUUGUUGAGAUUUUGGAAAUAAUAAUCUAUCAUCUGACCUCUCUGAGAAAACCAUUAUUAACCUUUUAGCUUUCUACUUUCUGUUAUUUGCAUUCAUACAUGUUUAUCCAUUAUCCGUGUAGCAUUUUUUAUCAUGCUUUUGAACUCCAUUUUAUUUACAUCAUGAUGACUUUAUAGUGACAAAAAAGAUUCCAAAAUAUGAUUUUAAUGUCAGCAUAAAUGGCUGUACUGUAAUAUAUUUAGUCAUUUUCUAUCAUUGGAUAUUUUCUAAUUUCCCUUCAUUAUCAUUGUAGUUAAUGUUUUUGAACAUAAGUCUAAUUCCAUAUUUGGUUAUUUCCUUACAAUAUUUUCCAAGACAUAGAAUUGGUGAAGAAAAAGUAUAUUAUGAAAGCUACCAAAAAUAAAAUUUCAAAUUUC